rnacentral:rRNA from 1 species
AUUGAACGCUGGCGGCAGGCCUAACACAUGCAAGUCGAACGAGUGGCGGACGGGUGAGUAAUGUCUGGGAAACUGCCUGAUGGAGGGGGAUAACUACUGGAAACGGUAGCUAAUACCGCAUCCCAUCAGAUGUGCCCAGAUGGGAUUAGCUAGUUGGUGGGGUAACGGCUCACCAAGGCGACGAUCCCUAGCUGGUCUGAGAGGAUGACCAGCCACACUGGAACUGAGCGACGGUCCAUACUCCUACGGGAGGCAGCAGUGGGGAAUAUUGCACAAUGGGCGCAUGCCUGAUGCAGCCAUUCCGCGUGUAGGAAGAAGGCCUUCGGGUUGUAAAGUACUUUCAGCUGGGAGGCGUUACCCGCAGAAGAAGCACCGGCUAACUCCGUGCCAGCAGCCGCGGUAAUUC